ensembl:lncRNA
CCCUUUUUAUUCAACUACCCCCCUCUCCUAAUCUCUGCACGCUUUGGAGAUUUUGUAGCUCAGAAUUCUGAAAUAUCCAUACAACAUUUGUUCUAUGUAAUUAAGAAUAUGUAGAAUGCUAAAAAUACACUAAAAUCAUAUUAACAUAUAGGAAUUCAUUGUACCUUUUGAAUACCUUUCCGCAACUGUAGACUUUGAUAUAAUGUUCCACCUACAUGUAUUGCUAAUAAAUAUACAUUCAGAGAGGAGCAAAUGCACAGUGAUUUAUGAGUCACUGAUAGAAGUAAAAUCCAACACAUUUAUAGUAAUGUAUGUCUUGUUUUGCUUCAUGGGAAAUAGCUGCUUUACAUAUUAAUUAUUUUCAUUUAUAAAGUUAAAACCCAUUUUUUUUUCUCUUUUUCUUUUUUUUCUGCAUGUCAAGCUCUUAAAACCAUGUGAGUGCUGCUUUGAAAGUGAUUCUCCUAUUUUAUUAUGUUUGCUCAUAAUGUCAGAGGUGGAUAUUGGUGAUAUGGCAGUGAAGAGGCUAAACCUUACCACCAAUAUUCUGUUACAUUUUGUUGCUGUGUGACAAGUGGCAGCAGAGGGGAAGUCUGACAAAAGUGGUGUCUGACACAGUGGUGCAUAUGAGGCAAAGGUGUGUCACCAUGGAAUUCCUCCAUGUGGAAAAAAUGACAUCCACUGACAUUAAUCAAUGACUGUUGAGACCAAAACAGUGCAUGUGAGAGCUGAAGCAGAUGGUGCCAUGGUUGCAGUAAUGUGAAAGACAAACCAUGUUCCACACAGCAAUGCACAGUUGUCACAUCAAAAGAUGAAGAGCAAAUUGCCUAAUGAUGGUGACUAUGUUGAAAAAUAGUGUUUUGUAGUUGAGAAUUUCCUCUAUAAUAUCAUGUAAUUAUGCUCUUUGAAUCUGUUGCAGUUUUCAUGGAAAUAAAUAGGAGCUAUUACAUUCUGAAUGACUUAUGUAAGUUAAAAUACAUUAAGUAAACCACUCCCUCACAGGUUUAAUCCAGACAGUGACUAAGAAGUAGUUACUCUAAUUCUCUAUUAUUCUGUAGGAUAAUGCAUACAAAUUAUACUGUUCUAUGCCCUAAUUUAUCAGUAUAGUAAAAUGACCAGCAUUCUUCAGAAUGUCUGUGGCAGGAUUUCUUUGAUUCCAACAAUGUAUGAGGACAAGUCCAUAGCUACAGAAAUCCAUCUAGAAAUCAUUCAUUUGUGGUGAUUGAUCUUGAUAUAUGAACUCUAUGCAAACACAAUAGAAAGUAGAAUGUUUUAAAGUGUGAAUCUUCUAUGUUUAGAAGACUUCCUAUAUUUGUGUAUAUUUGUAUGUAUUAGGUUUUGUAAACAAUAAACACUGCAAUCUAACUUGUAAACAAGGCAGAUUUGCCUGAAGUCCAGGUGUGAGGAAUUGUAUGUUCAGGGAAUCAAGGAAAAGUCAGG